GAUUAACGCUGGCGGCGUGCCUAACACAUGCAAGUCGAGCGGCAGCGAGUUUCACACUGAAUUCUGGAAGCUUCUAGUUGAAAGAGAAGAUUUAUUCAAGAAUUUUGUGUAAAAUGUCGGCGAGCGGCGGACGGCUGAGUAACGCGUGGGAACGUACCCCAAAGUGAGGGAUAACGCAUCGAAAGGUGUGCUAAUACCUCACAUGGUCUUCGGAUUAAAGCCUUCGGGCGCUUUGGGAACGGCCUGCGUAAGAUUAGAUAGUUGGUGGGGUAAUGGCCUACCAAGUCGACGAUCUUUAACUGGUUAGAGAGAAGGAUCAGUCAGACUGGACCUGAGACACGGUCCAGACUCCUACGGGAGGAAGCAGUGAGGAAUCUUCCAAAAUGGGCGAAAGCCUGAUGGAGCAACGCGGGGUGCAGGAUGAAGGCCUUCGGGUUGUAAACUGCUUUUAUAAGUGAGGAUUAUGACAGUAACUUAUGAAUAAGGAUCGGCUAACUACGUG
rnacentral:rRNA from 1 species